rnacentral:rRNA from 1 species
GACGAACGCUGGCGGCGUGCUUAACACAUGCAAGUCGAACGGUAAGGCCCUUCGGGGUACACGAGUGGCGAACGGGUGAGUAACACGUGGGUGAUCUGCCCUGCACUUCGGGAUAAGCCUGGGAAACUGGGUCUAAUACCGGAUAGGACCACUGCCUGCAUGGGUGGUGGAGGAAAGCUUUUGCGGUGUGGGAUGGGCCCGCGGCCUAUCAGCUUGUUGGCGGGGUGAUGGCCUACCAAGGCGCCGCCGGGUAGCCGGCUUGAGCGGGUGACCGGCCACAAUGGGGCUGAGAUACGGCCCAGACUCCUACGGGAGGCAGCAGUGGGGAAUAUUGCACAAUGGGCGCAAGCCUGAUGCAGCGACGCCGCGUGAGGGAUGACGGCCUUCGGGUUGUAAACCUCUUUCAGCACCGACGAAGCGCAAGUGACGGUAGGUGCAGAAGAAGGACCGGCCAACUACGUGCCAGCCGCCGCCGUAA